rnacentral:rRNA from 1 species
UACGUAGGGGGCAAGCGUUGUCCGGAUUCAUUGGGCGUAAAGAGCUCGUAGGCGGUUCAGUAAGUCGGGUGUGAAAGCUCCGAGCUCAACUCGGAGAGGCCACCCGAUACUGCUGUGACUUGAGUCCAGUAGAGGAGCGUGGAAUUCCUGGUGUAGCGGUGAAAUGCGCAGAUAUCAGGAGGAACACCAGCAGCGAAGGCGGCGCUCUGGGCUGGAACUGACGCUGAGGAGCGAAGGCCAGGGGAGCAAACGGG